GCCGGCGUGGCGAAGCUGGCAGACGCGGCGGCCUCAAAAGCCGCUGCCCGCAAGGGCAUAGGGGUUCGACUCCCCUCGCCGGCACCA
rnacentral:tRNA from 1 species